rnacentral:rRNA from 1 species
GGCCAGUACUCGCGCAGCAUGAUCAGCCAUGUCCGCGUGAGUGAGAAGGCCUUCGGGUUGUAAGCUCUUUCGGCAGGAACGAUACGGUGAGCUCUAACAUAGCUUGCUAAUGACGGUACCUGAAGAAGAAGCACCGGCUAACUACGUGCCAGCAGCCGCGGUAAU